UACGGAGGGGGCUAGCGUUGUUCGGAAUUACUGGGCGUAAAGCGCGCGCAGGCGGUUCUUUUAAGUCUGAUGUGAAAGCCCACGGCUCAACCGUGGAGGGUCAUUGGAAACUGGAGAACUUGAGUACAGAAGAGGAAAGCGGAAUUCCACGUGUAGCGGUGAAAUGCGUAGAGAUGUGGAGGAACACCAGUGGCGAAGGCGGGUCUCUGGGCCGAUACUGACGCUGAGGAGCGAAAGCGUGGGGAGCGAACAGG
rnacentral:rRNA from 1 species